GACGAACGCUGGCGGCGUGCUUAACACAUGCAAGUCGAACGGAAAGGCCCUGCUUUUGUGGGGUGCUCGAGUGGCGAACGGGUGAGUAACACGUGAGUAACCUGCCCUUGACUUUGGGAUAACUUCAGGAAACUGGGGCUAAUACCGGAUAGGAGCUCCUGCUGCAUGGUGGGGGUUGGAAAGUUUCGGCGGUUGGGGAUGGACUCGCGGCUUAUCAGCUUGUUGGUGGGGUAGUGGCUUACCAAGGCUUUGACGGGUAGCCGGCCUGAGAGGGUGACCGGCCACAUUGGGACUGAGAGACGGCCCAGACUCCUACGGGAGGCAGCAGUGGGGAAUAUUGCACAAUGGGCGGAAGCCUGAUGCAGCAACGCCGCGUGCGGGAUGACGGCCUUCGGGUUGUAAACCGCUUUCACCUGUGACGAAGCGUGAGUGACGGUAAUGGGUAAAGAAGCACCGGCUAACUACGUG
rnacentral:rRNA from 1 species